CAAGUUGGCCGGGCGAUCGCGACGACUGUUGCCGUCCGGGGCAAGUGCCCCCGGGCUAAGAGCAGCCGUUCGAGGAAAGUCCGCGCUCCUGAGAGCACGAUGCCGGGUAAUGCCCGGGGCGGGGUGACCUGCCGGAACAGGGCCACAGAGAAGCGCAGUGCCGCGUCAUGCGCGGCGAGGGUGAAACGGUGGUGUAAGAGACCACCGGCGUCGGCAGCAAUGUCGGCGGCCAGGCAACCCCCAUCGGGAGCAAGGCCAAACAGAGGUGAACUGCACGGUCCGCCGUGUGGUGCGGGUCGGCUCGAUCCGCUAAGCCUCGGGUAGGCUGCUAGAGCGCGUCGGCAACGCCGCGCCGAGAGAGAUGACCGCCGGGCCGGGGACUUCGGUUCCUCGGCUCACAGAACGCGGCUUAUAGGCCGACUUGGGCA
rnacentral:RNase_P_RNA from 2 species